rfam:Bacillus sp. FJAT-27997 Scaffold1, whole genome shotgun sequence.
AUUUCCUUUUAAUACGGUCCAGAGAGGCCGAAAAGGGUGGCUUGAUAGUCUUAUAUUUUUAAGUCUAACUACGUACAUUCAUGCCCUUUUGUCCUCUGUGACGGAAGGGCAUUUAUUUUU